GGUGCAGAACUCAGGAAGAGGAGCUACACCUCACUUGGAAAAGACAGCAGAGCCCACACAGGAGGCAUAAUUAGGAGAAAGCUCAGUAGAUCCCAGCACAGGAUACAGGCCUGCCUUUUGUACCUCCAUGAACUACGGUGAAUGUUGGGUGUGCAAGGAAUGCGAGAUAAGGCCCCGAAGGCACGACUCAUUACAAACAAAAUAAUUUAAGGAAGAACACCCACAGAGCGGGAGUAGUCCAGCACCUGGCAUGCCUCACAGAAAGUGAAGUCUUUUCAGUAAAACCUGUAGAAAAAAACGAAACAAAAUAAAGGACAGAAAGUAGAAGAUCUUCAUGCUCUCUACAACUACCUGAACGGAGGCUGUAGCAAGGUGAGAUUGAUCUCUUCUCACAAGUAACAAGCUUGCUCAUAUGAGCAGCCUGGAUGCUUUCUGCGGAUUUUUUUAAGAAGCAAAUGUACUCAAAAAUCAAGGAUGAACGAGGAAGGGGUUUUUAAUGUGUUUGUGUGUUACACCACGGCAAGCACAGCAUUCAUCUCCUGCAUUCCAAACUUCACCAGAUUUAAGAUUAUGCACCAGUGGUUUCCAGGGCUGCACAAGGGGAGAACAGGAAUCAGCCAGCCAGUCAGUCCAAUUACAGCACAUGGAGACUACUGCUGUCUUUCAUGAAGGGCAUGAGUGAGGAAUAAAAAAACCCCUCAUUUGUGUGACAAGAGUUUCAGAGAGAAAAGAGAAUGAGACUGUAUCAGCGGGUGCCUCUGAAGGUGGCCCGCACAAGAAGCAGGCCACCACCUAACUCAAGAGGGAAGACAUCUGUUUCAAAGGGUAACUUAGAGCACUGGAGUCCACAGAAGAUGUAUCUGAUUUAGACGGCAAGUCGGACACUUCAGUAUGAAAUACUACAUCUCCAUUGCAAUUCCUUGUGCAAAGCACUUCCUUUCCAUGCAGGAGGUAUGUGUGUGCAUGCCUUUUGACCUGGGUGUGAGGGUGAGAGCACAUUCAGUUUGAAUAGUUAACAGGCACAGCAGCCUUUAUGACUGUUGUUCUGUAUAGUGUCUUUGUUGGGGAAAGCAAACUGGCAGGCAUGGCACUGAAAGGACAUAGAGGAUUUGUCUGGGCUUGGAGAAAUAAUUUUCUGGUUCAGUUUUCUCUUAUCAGGGCCUAAUACCACUUGAUGCAGACAUUGCACUGGAAAGAGCUUCAGAAAGAUGAUGACUGCAACCUGAGUCCUUCAUCCAUAUCAUCCAGACAACGGUAGGCUUGCCUUUCAGCUCCAACACCACAGAACUCAGCUGAAUCCAAAGAUACUGCUCUCAGUGAACAUAGACUCUUGAACAAAGCUGAUCAGUAGGAGUAAUUCCCAUUUCCAAGAUCAUAUGCAUGCUGCAGCUGUUUCUGGGUGGGUCACAUGCUGCUGAUGAUUUGCAUGCAGAAGAUAGUUAAGUACAGCUUGUAGAGACAUGCUCUCCCAACAGCAAUACAGUAGGGUUGUGAUGGACGUUCAGGAAAGGAGAAGCCACAAGAUUUUUCCACCAGUGCAAAUCUCAACUAGACUUUGAAAUGGGAGAUCAAGAAAAGAAUAGUAUAAACAAGAUUUUUAGGAACUGGCAGGUCUUGACAGAUGAUAAUUUUUCUUGUGACUGUGGGCAACUCAUUUUUCCACACUGACUCUUUGUUGUUUAUGAGAUAACAUAUACAGUACAGAACAUAUUUUACUGGGCCUUCAUGGUAGCUUAUGGACCAAAGACAUUCUAAUAAUGUCAUAAUUCAGUGUCAUGGAAAAGCCAAAGCUAACAAUGGUAGAAAUAGUUAUUCAAAUCAAGUAGAAUUUGGCCUCCAGCAAAACAUCUGUAAAUGAUGUGGUAAGAUCUGCAAGCUAAUCACUUUUUACGAAUAAGAACUGUAUACUUAGUUCAGCUAAGGGGACAAAUUUGGAGAAAUCAUUCUUUUAGCUGAGCUGCUGUGAGCUUAUCUCAGGAGAGUUCAGUACAGACCAUGACCAUGUACAUGCUGUGGACAGCCUGCAUAUUAAAGGAGAAACACAAAGUUCCCAUAAUUGGCCUACAGAAUGUUUCACUCUUUCAUCCUCCCUUGUUGCUACAUGUCUUUCUUGCUUUUAUUGAGUCAUUAUGCAAUUUAUAGAACAAAUGCAACUGCAUUUGCAGCACUGUACUUAGUGACGCAAAAAAAAAAAGUAAGUAAACAUUUACUUUUCCUGCCUAGUUCUUCUUUAUCUGCAGGCGCCCCCAGGAGAAGAGAUGAGGAAAUCUAAAAGUCCUCCUGAUAUUAUACCGCUUCUUGCUUCUUAGAAAUGUUUCUCUAAAUGGGAUCAGCCAUCACUUCCUAUUAGUACAACCAGCCUUUUCAGUGAUGACAUUACACAACAGGCAAGACUGUGAUUACUUAUGGUCAUAAGACUAGUCUUGUGAAUAUACUCCUGUGUCCUACUGCAUUCUGAGGGGAGAGUGCUUUGCUUUGCAAAACUGCUGCAAAGAUUUGAAAUCUCAAGUGGCUGCAGAAUGCUAUACAGCCGCUCUCAGCUCCUUGCUAUCCUCUCUGGUAUUGUGCACCAUAUCUUAAUCUCUUCCAUGCCUAUUUUUCAUAGACACUAUCUAACUGGCCUUCUCAUUUUGCCUUCUCAGUAGAGAUUGCCAUGCUGUUGUGAAGACGAAUAAGACUUUUUCAGAGGAAAAAUAUUAGGGCAGUGGGGAUGGGUUGUAAAUUUCAGUGUCAUUCCACUGACGAGGGAGUGAACUAAAAGAAAGACCAUACAUGUUUGGUCUGUAGUACUCCCUCUCAAUGCUUUCCACAGUUCACCCUUUCUAAAAUCCUAGCAAGGUCUUUGUCACUCAAAAAUCCUUAGGUGAUGUAAUGCUUCCAGAUGAGUGUGUCUUUGUGAGGUGUAUAUUGCUCAUAAAUGACUGGAAAAGUAACAGGAGAUCCAGCUAGGCAGAUGAGGCAGUGAUGGACAUUAACCACAGAAAAAUAAAUCAGCAAGCAUUGGAUCUAGGACUGAAAGAAAGAAGUAACUGCCCACUCUCAGGUGCUUACUCUGGCAUGGGCUGCCUCCUUUCCUGAGAGCCCACAAGGAGAUAGAGUAUUUUUUCUAUGCUUACCCUCUUACAUUAACUCCUUGAGAAAGUGGCUGACUUCCAUGCAGCUGUUCAGAAGUUAGAUAUCCAUCUACCCUCCCUCUAUCACGUAUGAAGUGUAUUUCUUGAAGUCACACUGGGGAUGUGGUAAGAAGAGGAGAAGGCACUGCUAGUGAAAGAUCACCUUCGAAAUUUGGGUUGUUCUUACACCAGAUAUUGGGAUAACAGCAGACAGUUGGGGGAGUUCAGGCUGAAGCCUGAAUUAUAUUGAGCACCAUUCAUUUUAAAACUUUGCAUCAGAGCAAAUCAUUAUCUGGGGCAGGAGUUUCUUAAAAUCCUGAUGUGCCUGAGCUGUUUUAGUGGAUUAAUGGUGAGGUAUUAUCAGUGAAGCAGACGCCCUCAGUUUGACUGUUUUUGUCUGGUCUCCUUUUCUUCCAGCUGGAUGGAAUUAUGGAAUGCUACCUAGGCAGAAAUAAUAUGCUUGAUGCCUUUUAUGGAAUAAUGGGUACAGAUUUGCAAGUCCCAAAAAAGUAUUUAUUCUUCCUGUGGCACUCAAAUGCAGUCUCACAUUGUGCUUGCUCUUUGCCUCGAGGAGAAUUUGGUUCUUUGCAGAGGUGUAGCAGAGGGUUUCAGCAAGUCCUUCAACAGUGGAACUGCAAAAGUGACAGGCUCUGGUAAGAAAGGGUCCACCAAGUAGGCCCAUAGCCACUGCAAAGUAGGAGCUUAGUCAAGAAAAUUAAAGAAUUGCCCCAGGAAAAGAAGCCCAAGUGUCUAAAUUCUUCUCUCAUAAUGAAACUGAGCUAUUACAGUUUUAAAUUGCAAGUGUUCUGACUUUGCUGUGGCUUCCUCAUGCUAUGCAUGCCUUAUUGAAAAAAGAAAAAGCGGCCCUCUCCAGAACAGCCCCAUUCUAAUCUCACAAUACAAAUUGGGUAGAGAUCCAAGGAAGUCAGUGACCUAAUGUGGAUGUAAAGUCAGAGUGAGGGAAAUAACAGUCCAGCAGCAGCUAACCUAGCUCUGUGGAUGCCUGGGUACACAAUCACUAGAGCGACCCCAAAAGGAAAUAUGUUUGAAGAGAUCACUUCACAGAAUAUGCAUGAAACCUUUCUCAUAAAAGUUUAAAUUCAGCAUUGUGGUGCAGUCCCUUCAGCAAAACUAAUGCAUUAGCAAAGAAGAGAGCAGCUCAUAAAAGAGGUAGAGUAUUCCCUCCUCCCCCUGGUUCUUGUCCACUUGCAUGGUUGUGAUAACCCUUCACCCCUUCAAUCCUUUCAUGCUUAUUUCUUUUUUAAGGGCACCAAGAAAAAUAAACAGUUAAUUUUAAGUUAAAAACAACAACAAGAAAGUGAAAAAUAAACCCUUGGGAUAUUGCUUAAAACCCAGAGGUCAUAAACCCCAAGACAAUGGCUUUUGGUGCACCUGGAGUAAGAGAAUCUACAUCUCAGUAGCAAAUUUGUGAGUUCUGUGAGGGGCCAAGAUGAGAAUGAUGGUGGUACAGGAGGCAGAGAGCCCUCAGACCAAUUACUGCAGAAUUCAUCCCAUUAUCUGAAUCUGUCUGCAGAAACUCCAGAUGAAAGGUGUCCACCGUGGCUGUGAAUUGGUUCCAUUUCCAGGUGAUCCUGCAAAUCACACGGAGUAUCUCCAGGCUGCUGCUGCCCAGAGUAUCAGGGAGCCCCUCUGUGCUAAUGUGGGUCUGCAGAUGUGUCCCACAGAGUAUUACUGCCUCAGGUCUUCAAAGGAGGAUAAUCAUAUUUAAAAAACAAACCUUGCCUCUAAGUAUCAUAUACUAGCUUGGGCUGAAUAACUCACAGACCUAGCUUUCCUAUUUUCAAUUCUGGAACUAGGUAAGGCUGCAAUAACUUGAAGCUCCGUCCACUGUCUCCCACCUCAUAUUCUUCUGUGUACAAAGAAACAACUCUCGGCUGGUUUGUUUCGUGAAAAGCCUUUUUUGACUAGCAUGAGUGGAAUUGAUACAUACAAAAUUACUUAAGCUGUAAUAACAGAGUAAACAAAGAUGCCUUAAAAAAAAAAAAAGAAGUUUUGUGCUCUCUGGAACGAGUACGCUCUCUUUCCAGGACAAUGUAGGUAAUCCUAAAAAAUAUCCUAGGUAAUUGUGUAAGAGUGGGCACAAGGGUCCCUGAGCUAAUAUUUCAGAAACAGUUAUCCAUCCCUCAGGACUUUGGGGUGGGAUCAGGAUCUUUUGUGCAGCAGGCAAUAUUGUGCAACAGUUCCCACAAGUCCUCAGGGAAGCAGCAUUGAUGUAUGGAACACUUAUGCUGCCAAAUGGGGACAUCUAGUGCCAUUUCAGCCACUGUCUGGCUUGCACCUGCAGGUUUAGAUGGUCCCAGGUCUCCGUAGGGCCCUGUGUCAGAUCUGCCAGCUCCCUACAGACCUCAUGGGUUGCAUGGAUUCCAGAAUGGAUUACACAGCACCACAGAAAUUCAUGUGUUAAGCAACUGAAAUGUGCCAAGGGUGCUGCGGCUAAUGAGGUGACAAGAAACUGGUGAUGCCUACAGCAGAACUGGAAGAAAAUAGAAAUGAGAAAUGCAAGAAUGAGGAAUGAGCUGGGGCUUCAGGUGUGGGGUUAAGAGUUGGGUGUCCUGCAUCCAGUACCCUGUCACAAGCUGUUGAAUAAGAGGAGAGUAAUUAAAUUAUUAAAUAAUAUUUAAAGAAUCUUUCCUCAUCCUCUUUUGCCAUGUGUUUAACAACAGGUGAUACUUGUCGUUUCUUUCCAAGAUAUUUAGAAGAUAUUUAGUUUGGGGCUCCAGCUGUUACUGCAUGUCUGCACAGUAGAACAUGGAUUCUUUUACAGUUCUCACAAACAAGAGAGGGAGCACAGAAAAAACAGUUCCUUCUUCAAGUCUUCCAUCUCUUUGCUUUUCAUCUGACUCUGACUCUUUCUUUUCUAGUUAGAAAGAAAGCAUGCCUGUCCUCCAUUACACUUAUUUCUGCAGUUUGCACUAAAAGCAUUAGGAUAGGUACUUAUCCCUAAUAUCAAAACCACAGAGUCUCACUUUUUAAUUUCUCUCUUGAUUAUCUGAUUCCUUUUUUCAAACUAGAACACCCCUCCCUCCUUCUCUGAUAUGUUUUUCCCCUUUUAAAAGUGUAUCUAUUGCCCUAAGUGCAGCUGAAAUGAGUGAACACGUUAUGUGGCGCUUCAGGGAAUUCCUGAAGGAUUGAUUCAAUUCUUCUGGGAUCUGCAUUCUGAGAACUGAGAGCACAAGUGCUGCAAAACCUGUUUGUGAUUCAAACCCAGACAUUAAUAUAUAUUAAUGUGUGUGUGUGUGUGUGUGUGUGUGUGUAUGCAUGUGUGCAUGUGUGCAUGUGGGUGUGUUGAGGGAAAAAAUAAAAGUUGACUCAAAGAAAGAAAAUCAGAGGCAGAAAAAAGACCUGGUUCCUGAGGGUUUUGGGGUAUGUUUUUUUUAAGUGAAAGCUAAUGGAAUCCAAUAUAACUGCUGAAACCUUGUCAUCCUUGCUAUCAGUGAGAGCCUUUGAAUAAGCUAAAUCCUUAAUCAGUAUAGCCUAAGACCCCAAUGACUAUGUGCAGAAGUGUUAGUCCAGAUAAAUCCUUGAAGGUUUCAAAGAUUUGAAGAGCACUGGCACUUUUCUGUGUAGUGCCUGCCCUUUGUCCUUUUCUCCAUGAUGUCAUUAUUGAAGUUUUACACUCACUAUGCAUGGUGUAAGUUGACAUUGACAGUUUCAACACUUUCACACUGACUCUGGAGGAUUGUUAGCUUUGAAGAUAUUUGGCCUUGAGCAGUGAAUUCUUUUUUUGAGCUCAUACUGGCUUAUAAUAUCUGAGAAGGUUUGCAUCAGUACAGCCCCAGCUUGAAUUAUGAGAGAAGGCUGGUUUCCAACUUGGAACUGAUACCCACAUGAUAGAAAUAGAGAACAUUAUACCAUUUCAGAUGGGCAGCACAGUCAAUGUUCCUGAAUCCCCCUGGGAUGCAACAAUGAGUUUUCAUUUUAACAUCACAGUUAAAGCUACAUCGGCAGCGUGGCUUUUCUUGUAAUCAGAACUCUGAAAAGCAGUUAGGCUUGGAAAUGACUGUAAGAAUAUGCGAUCUUCUGCCCUGUGAUCUGUUUGUUAUUAGGUUUUUGGAAACAUCUGCAUGGGGCCAGAGGCAUAUUUCAUAUCAGUGUAAUUUAAUUCAAGUAUUUUAUGAAAAUAAAAAUAAAAUGCUGUGUGGUGAUUUAGAGACAUUGAAUAUCAAAGCACACAAGCACUGACAAGCAACACAAAGAAAGUGAGCUGUUCAGACACUUACUCAUAUGAGUUGUCCCAUGGAACUUUAUCAAGAUGACACACAUAAG